rnacentral:rRNA from 1 species
GUGCCAGCGGCCGCGGUAACACCGGCAGCCCGAGUGAUGGCCGAUAUUGUUGGGCCUAAAGCGUCCGUAGCCAGCUGAACAGGUCCGUUGGGAAAUCUGCUCGCUCAACGAGCAGGCGUCCGGCGGAAACCAGUCAGCUUGGGACCGAGAGGACCGAGGGGUACGUCUGGGGUAGGAGUGAAAUCCCGUAAUCCUGGACGGACCACCGAUGGCGAAAGCACCUCGGUAGAUCGGAUCCGACGGUGAGGGACGAAAGCUAGGGUCACGAACCGGAUUAGAUACCCGAGUAGUCC